rnacentral:lncRNA from 1 species
AACAAGGCCGCGCUGAUCGAGAAGGAGCCGACAGGACUUGGUCAGACAGCCCUUCUUACAUAAUCUGUGAAAGCUCACUGAGCCCUUCUAUUGCUAGAAAGCCCCAGAAUGCAUCGCGAUGAGGGCUGCAGACUCUGAAUCUAGCAAAUCGGAACCAUUCAAGGGAAGUGGGGCCCUGAACAUCCCAGCGAAGACCUCUACAGAUCACCUCCCUGCCGAUCUGCCAGCUCCAUCCCUGGAAACGAAGCCCGAUGGCUGGCCCUCA